CAACCUACCUAUCAGAGGGGAAUAACCCGGCGAAAGUCGGACUAAUACCGCAUAAAACAGGGGCACCGCAUGGUGAUAUUUGUUAAAGAAAUUCGCUGAUAGAUGGGCAUGCGUUCCAUUAGGUAGUUGGUGAGGUAACGGCUCACCAAGCCGACGAUGGAUAGGGGAACUGAGAGGUUGGUCCCCCACACUGGUACUGAGACACGGACCAGACUCCUACGGGAGGCAGCAGUGAGGAAUAUUGGUCAAUGGGCGGGAGCCUGAACCAGCCAAGUCGCGUGAAGGAAGAAGGGUCUAUGGUUCGUAAACUUCCUUUUGCAGGGGAAUAAAGUGCGGGACGUGUCCUGUUUUGUAUGUACCCUGAGAAUAAGGAUCGGCUAACUCCGUGCCAGCAGCCGCGGUAAUACGGAGGAUCCGAGCGUUAUCCGGAUUUAUUGGGUUUAAAGGGUGCGUAGGUGGUUUGAUAAGUCAGCGGUGAAAGUUUGCAGCUUAACUGUAAAAAUGCCGUUGAAACUGUCGGACUUGAGUGUAAAUGAGGUAGGCGGAAUGCGUGGUGUAGCGGUGAAAUGCAUAGAUAUCACGAAGAACUCCGAUUG
rnacentral:rRNA from 1 species